GCGCGAUUAGCUGAGCGGGAGAGCGCUUCCCUGACACGCCAGAGGUCACUGGUUCAAUCCCAGUAUCGCGCA
rnacentral:tRNA from 1 species